rnacentral:rRNA from 1 species
AACGAACGCUGGCGGCGUGCCUAACACAUGCAAGUCGAACGAGAAAGGGGCUUCGGCCCUGAGUAAAGUGGCGCACGGGUGAGUAACACGUAGGCAACCUGCCUCUAAGAUUGGGAUAACUUGUCGAAAGACGAGCUAAUACCGGAUAAGACCACAGUUUCCCCGGAAACAGGGGUCAAAGGUAGCCUCUAUUUAUAAGCUAUCACUUAGAGAUGGGCCUGCGUACCAUUAGCUUGUUGGUGGGUAACGCCCACAAGGCAAAGAUGGUUAGCUGGUCUGAGAGGAUGAUCAGCCACACUGGAACUGAGACACGGUCCAGACUCCUACGGGUGGCAG